AGACAAUAAUAUAACUAAAUUUAAUGUGCUUUGUACGAUUAUGCCAAUUUUUAUAAUGGAAAACCUUCUUGCUCAAAGGAAGAAGACCUACAAAAUAUAGGAUUUCAAAAACAACUUUCAGUAACUUCAAAGAGCGGUUUUACAUUAACAACUCCAUAACCUAAGCAACUAAUUACUAUGGGUGUCCAAUAUAUAUAUAAAAGAGAAUUCUAGACCCGCUUACGUCUCCUUCGUUCGUUAUUCUCUUACGAUUAACCUGCUCUGAUACCACUUGUCACGGCUUUUUUGAUUCUGACAAGACUCCCUGCGGCACUUGACGGUUUACUCAUGAUUCUUGCACGAUCUCGUAAACUCAAGUAAGCCUCUCACUGUUUGGAUCGCUAAGAGAAGUAAGAAGAAAGACAAUAGACAGAAUUUUGGAAGAGGGGACUUGUAUAGCAGCAUUUAUUUACUCUUAGUCAUUAGAGUAGUAUAAAUAGGAGAGUCAUUGUAUUUGUAAAUCAUCCAAUAAUCCAACAAAUAAUAUAAGUCCCUAAAUACAUGCACUCAAGACAUGUCUACAUUCCAAGAAUGUUUCUAACUCUUCCAAAAGGGACUCCUAGAUUUCUCUAGUCUGCCCCAAGGUUCUAGAGGGUCUGCACAAGCCUCUCCAAGGCUAAAGGCUGCUGCCCCUCCGUCUGCUGCAUGCCAGGACUGCCUGCCCCUUCGUCUGCUGAACUUUUGGGCCACCUGUCCCCAUUUGCAUGCUGCAAUCUGCUUGGAUAGGUGGCCAUCUGCCUGGAUAGAUGGCGGGACGUCACAAUCUCCCCCACCUAAUGAUGCGACGACCGCGUCGCAUUGCGACUGUAUCGGCGUCAAGUUCUGUCGUGCGAUCAUCAACUCGCGUACUCGAUUAAUCCCUUCGAGUAGCCUCUUCAUCGAUUGCCCGACCUUUCUCGAUCCGAUCUUUUGAACUUCUUCCUUCAUAGGAGGCAAGUGCCUCAGCGGCUUCUUUUUCAUCACGACAGAGUUCCUACUUGGAACCCUCAUGCGCGGUGGCAAAGUCUUUUCAGCACCAUUGUCUUCUCUCGAACUUGCAAUGGUUGCUGCCGAUGUUAACCUUUUCCUCUCGUCGAUUCACUCGAGCUUCAUGGCUGUUAGUCUAGUCUGUCCCUUCGUCGCCGAAGUGGCAGCACUCAAGGAAGACAGGGAGGUUGGUGGAUCCACAUCACUUUUGACCGGGAAAGGGAGGCCAGAGUCGAGACUCCCAAGCCACCUAUCUUUGAAGGCGUUCGCAACGCACAGAAGGUGGAGAAUUUCCUAUGGCACUUGGAGAAUUACUUCAAGUGUAUUCGGGUGCAAAGUGAUGUGAACAAGAUCAACACUGCGGUGUCGUAUCUUUCGAAGAUGGUCAUACUAUGGUGGAAACGUAAAGAGUCCGACGUCAGAAAGGGGAUAUGCACUUUGAACACAUGGGAGCAGUUCCGUGAGGAUUUCAAGAAGGCAUUUUAUCCCAACAAUGUCAUCUAUGAGGCAAAGCGCAAGUUUAGGGAGUUGAAACAAAAGGGCAGCAUACGCGCGUAUGUGCAGGAGUUCACCACCCUUACAUUUCAGAUUCCCAACCUCACGGAUGAAGACAUGUUGUUCCACUUCAUGGAUGGGCUGCAAAAUUGGGCCAGAACGGAGUUGGAGCGGCGACAGGUCCGGACUUUUGAUGAAGCCAUUAAGCAGGCCGAAGCCUUGACAGACUUCAGGCGAGAGAAGUCUCUUAGUGCCGAGGAAGACAACGAGGUAGAUAGUCAUGAUGAUAGUGGGGAAGAUUGUGGCGAAGGCGAGGAGCAACGGCCACAACCCAAGAGGCAUGACACCUACGAGUCCAACAGCAAGAGAUUCGAAGAUCGUGGCAACACGGUGAGGAAUCCGGAUGGUUGCUACAUAUGCAAAGGGUCGCAUAGCUAUAAAAAGUGCCCUCAACUGAAGAGUCUUGGUGCUAUCCUCCGUGAGCGGAAGAAAAAGGUAGCCCAAGAGGAAGAUGAAGUCGGGGAGACUAAGCCGUUGGGCUUGAUAAACCUAUGCGGAGCUAUCAUCGAGCAACCAUCGGAGGUGCCAAGGCAAGAGAAGCCAAGGCAAGCGCAGCCGAAGCAUGCUGAUCAGGGACUUGCGAAGUCUAUGGCAUGUGCUCAAUCUGUCGAGAUCACGAUCAAUGGGAAAAAUGCUCGUGCGUUGGUCGACACAGGUGCGGAGGUCAAUAUUAUGACCAAGACAGCAGCAACGAGGUUGGGGUUGCGAUAUAGUCCAUGCAACGCCCAAAUCAGGACUGUCAAUGCACCAUCGACUCCCAUAAUUAGAGUUGCGCACGGGGUGAACAUCACGGUAGGCGAUUGGCAAGGAAAAACCAAAUUCAUCAUCGCCCCCAUAAAUCUCUUUGAUAUUAUUCUUGGGCAGAAGUUCUUCCAGCAGUGCCAUGCGGUGAUCGAUCCUCAUCUCCAAAAAUUGACAAUCAUGGAGAAAGGAAGAGAAAUAUACAGUUCCCAUGGUAAAGGCACAAGCUACGGAGGGACAUACUAGACUAACAGCCAUGAAGCUCGAGUGGGUCGACGAGAGGAAGAGGUUAUCAUCGGCAGCAACUAUUGCAAGUUUGAGAGAAGACAGUGGUGCUGAAAAGACUUUGCCACCGCGCAUGAGGGUUCCAAGUAGGAACACUGCCGUGAUGAAAAAGACGCCAUCACAAAGUAGAAUUCUUUUUUAAUUUAUUUAUUUUCAUGACUAGCCUUCCCCUCCUCUGAGAAACCUAUAUAUAUAUAUAUAUAUAUAUAUAUAUAUAUAUAUAUAUAUAUAUAUAUAGAAGAGAAUUCUAGACCCGCUUACGUGACGCCAUCACAAAGUAGAAUUCUUUUUUAAUUUAUUUAUUUUCAUGACUAGCCUUCCCAUCCUCUGAGAAACCUUCGCAACUGUCACAACCAUAUUACAAAUUAAGCCUCCACCAAAUCUUCCAUAUGUAUAAAUAUCACCCCCCUUUGAAUUUUUUUAAACAAAUGAUCGCCAGUAGGAAGGAAUACUAUGCCAAACUUAAUUUUAACCAACUGAUACAAAAAUGAAAUUUUGGGUCAAAUUAUGUGAGUUAGUUGACCCAGAUGAAUAUAUAUAAGUUAUACCUUGAAAUUUUUCUUUUUAAUUAUGGAAUUGUGAAUGUUUCUCCUUUUAUCCUAUGUAUACUUGCAUUGUUGGAUGCAUUACUCUACAGUUUCUCCAUAGUCUUAUUUUACCUUUGGUGAUUCGAGUUUAAUCAUUUUUGUCUAGGGGUGGUACAAUAUAGAUUGAAGGUCAAUCUCAUUUAUUAGAGCUUUGAAUUGAUAUGUCAAGUACACAUUGUUGGAUUUUAAAAGAUGUGAAUGAAAUAUAAAGCAUUGUCAAUUUCAUGAAAAAUUAUUAUUUUUAUAAAAAGUUAUGACUUUUAUAAAAGAUUGCGGCUUUUAUGAAAAGUUUGUAACUUUUAUGAAAGGUCGUGACUUUUUCAAAGAGUUAGGACAUUUCUAAUAGGCACAAUAAACAUUUGUUCACGCUAACUUUUUUGGUCAAUAAAUAGGGGGAUUUUCUCUCAUUUUAAAACGACGAAAGUUCUAAACUUCUUCUUCUUUUGCAUAAUUAAAUAAUCGUGUACUUUAUGCUCCUGUUGAAUGACUUACUGAUACCAUUGUUUUUGUAUUAAUACACUGGUGAAUAAAAUCAUUCUAUCCUGAGAGGAUCAAUUCCUUUAAACCUCAAGUACUAGAGGUGAAAUAAUUUCCUUAAGGGGGUUGUGUUUUCAGUGGACUCAAUUUUUUCUUUAUGUUUCAUUCUAUUGUUAUAGGAUUUGGUAUAUUUUUUACAGUUAUUUAUUUAUGCUUAUGCCAUUAAUUGCUAUUUUUAUUACAUGCUUUAAAAUUUAUUGUUUAUGUUUCUGCAAAAUUAUUAUUUGUUAUAUAAGUACUUUGUUUUAAACGUUUUUGAAAAAUAUUAUAUUUAUAUAUUUUGACUUUUUUGGAGUCGCCAUUUAAUUUUAAAAAGAAAAUAAGAAAAAACUAUAUUUUCAAAAGACUUAAACAGAAAAAUCAUUUUGAAACUUUAAAGGGGUUCCGAAAUUCCUAUUUAUAUUUUAGGAAAAUUUACGGAACCUAAAAUAUUUACUAACUCGUAAUUAUCCAACAACUAACUCGUUUGGCUAAAAGAUCUUACUUUAAUUUUAAGAUGAAAUUAAAUAAGGUUGCUUUAAAAAUUAAGUAUUAAUCAUACUAUCUAAGUGAGUUAUAAUUCGUAAAAUUUACUUUUAAGUCAUUUGCUUGGUUUGAUUAAAUUAAGUUGUUUAAAACAAAAUAGCGUCUUGCGGGAUUUCGAUUCAUUAACCCUAAGAUUAUUGACAAUUAAAUAACACUAAUUAAGCAAAUACCGGGAGAGAGAGAGAGAGAGAGAGAGAGGGAGAUUGGGCCCAAACCUGGGUUCUAUCCGCCUGGACCGCAGUUUGGACUCAUUUCCGUUUGUAGGUGUUAGGCCCACUCGACUUGUACCUGUCCUAAACUAGUGAAAUAAAAAUAAGUAAACUUACAAGGCCUUAAGCCUAAAACUAACAAAAUACGACAUAAAUAAAUACAAAAUAUAGGUUUUUGGCCACCAAAAACUUCAACUAUUUAAUGGCUCCAUUUUCCUCGAUUUUGGGAAACUGUCCGUCAAUUUUAAAGUUGGGAGACUUGAUGGAGACGUUGAGCCUUUACAACUCUCGAAAAUGCGGGAAUAAAACGAAGUCCACGAGGACUUGGAUGGAUUUUUACAUGCAAACAAAGAAUAAUAAAGUGAAUAAUAAAUCUUGAUUCAAGGUGAGAGGAUGUCAAGUAGAGAAAGCAUAUAUGUUACUAUCCUUUAAUGCUAACACCGUAGAAAAAGACUACAAGGAUCAACUAAUGACUAAAUGAUUUUAAAAAAUCACGUAACCUAAUAAAAACCGACAAUGAGUAUCAAGAGAAUAAAUAAAUUUUCCAGCCAUGGAUAACAAACGGCAAGGGGACUAAAGCAUACUCUUCAAAGCUAGAAAAAUUUAAAUGAAAAUGGCAAAUUAUCAAAGAAAAAUUGCAAUUAUGAUCUUCACAUUUAGAGCUAAGAUCAGAUUCCUUGUUAACUGCUAACCCAACAUAAUAUCCAGAAGCCAACAAACCAUUUGAGCAAAUUAGUCAAUAGAUCAAAGAUUCGCAACAUCGAACAACAUGCAGGGGACAUCAAAUGAACAUAACUACCGACCGAAUCAAGGGACACAUGACUACAUAUGCUAAGACGCUUCACACAAUAAAGAAAACACCAAAGCGUAGUGGUAGCUUAGGCAGUUAAGGCUAUUAGUGAUUAAAUGGACAAGGAACUGGGCAUAUUUAUGCUGACAAAAGCAGACCCUUAUGAUUGAUAUCAUUAAGCUUAAAAUGCAAUAAAUAUUUGGACAAAGACAUUGAGGAAACUGUGUAUCAAUAAAAAAACGCUUGAGUAUUUGAACAGAAAAUUUCAGCUGACCAGAUCAGUAAAAUGUUCCUAUUUUUGCAGAAAAUUUCAGACAUGGAUAAGGGAAGGUUUUUAGCGUUUUUUUUUUCACCACUUCAAGUGAAGGGAGAAAGUAGGCAUAGACAUGCAGAGAGACUACAUCAAGCUUCAGGACAAGAUUCACAUACCAAAUCACACAUUUGACAUCAAGCGAGAAAGAAUUAAAACUAAAUAUUAUCACGUCAUUACAAACGGAGAUAGACUAAGAUGAGUUGAACAUUUUGAGAAAUAAACCAAAUGCAAUCAUCAAAAUCUAGAAAUAAGCCAAAGGUUAACAAUUUUAAAGCUAGAAAACCUUUUCAAACACAUGUACACCAAGCAAAGAGAAAUAUACUUCUAUUUAGACUCCAAAACUAAUUAACCAACAGUCCAGUACUAAAUUUUCUGCAGUAGUAACAAACCAAAGAUCAAAAGAUCACAUCGAAAACAAAAUGUUUGCCAAAAGGCUAAGUAUGACUUAUUUGGAAAACGAACAUGCAAGAUGGCAAAGGAAACUCAAACCAGACAAAACUAAUAAGGCAAAAAACUCGAUAAGUGAGACAGUAGAGCUUGAAUAAAGUCUUAAGAACACAACAAUUGAUCAUGUAAUCUCAAUUGAAUGACGACAAUGGCAGUCAAACACAAUAGCCAUUUCAACAUAGAGAUACUUCAUUCGAGUGACUAGAAUAGAGAAUGAUAUAUUCGACAAAAUGAGAUAAGUUUAUUACCUCUUAUAGUGCAGCGAUUUUGGGAUGGUUGAUGAGUUCAGAGAGACACUUCCACUAACACAAAACUUGAACGUGAAUGCUCAAUCGGAUCCUACAAUGAAACUCAAAAAUGCGAAAAAGAGAGCCUCUACAAUAUGUUCUAUGAAGGAUUAUGGCGUUGGAGUUUUCUCUCUACUUUGUUCGAGAAAAAAAAAUGUCCAACCAAAAAGAAAAUAUCUAAUAACUUGCCUUUUUCAAAAAUUUCUCCCUCUUCCUCCUCCGUUUUUGUUUUUAGAAUUAUCAGGACUAAAAUUUUCUCUCCCUUCUCCAAAAAAUCUCCUCCUCAGCAGAAGUUCAAAAGAAAAUUUAUAUAGGAACGAAAACAGGGUUUAGAAGGGGAAGAGGUGAGGGUAGAAUUAGGUAAGGCCAAGAACCAAUUUAAAUUUUGAAAACCCCAAAUCCUUUUACCAUUUCAGGAUGAAUACUUUUUCUGACGAUUCCAAACCAUUCCGAAACGGGAAAGUAGAAUGGACGACUUGGACUCAACUUCUAUGUCCUUGGCUUCGACGUGUCUUAAUCUCAUGCCACCAGAGGACAAAGGCGUGCUCCUUUUGCUGCUUGGGUCGUACGAAAUGGAAAGGAGCGGGAGGAAGAAAACAAAAAAUCGCAGUGUACUGACCUUUUUAUCCUUGCUCUUCCGUUGUACUCGCUUUCAUUGUUCACGUGUGGUACGCAUCGACACUUUCCGGGUUGUCUCGCUGCACGAGGCGUCGUUCCUCCUCCGUUCGCACCAUUUGGGACUGCUGUUGGUGUCACACUUUUUAAAUUUCUCUUUGGAAUUGGAAAAUAGGUUGGGUCAGGGCAAAUAAGGUGCGAUGGAAUUUGGGUAAUUAAAUGGAAAAAUUACUUAACUAUAUUCCUUUAAUUAUCUUAAGAAUCAUUUAUCUCUACUUAUUAUAAAAUUUUCAAAAAUUUCUUAUUCUCCCCAAUUAAAAAAAUAUGAAAGAUAAUUCUCA
rnacentral:lncRNA from 1 species